rnacentral:tRNA from 1 species
GCGGGAUUAACUCAGUGGUAGAGUGUCAGCUUCCCAAGCUGAAGGUCGCGAGUUCGAAUCUCGUAUCCCGCUCCA